rnacentral:rRNA from 1 species
GAUGAACGCUGGCGGCGUGCCUAAUACAUGCCAGUCGAGCGAACAGACGAGGAGCUUGCUCCUCUGACGUUAGCGGCGGACGGGUGAGUAACACGUGGAUAACCUACCUAUAAGACUGGGAAAACUUCGGGAAACCGGAGCUAAUACCGGAUAAUAUAUUGAACCGCAUGGUGCAAUAGUGAAAGACGGUUUUGCUGGCACUUAUAGAUGGAUCCGCGCCGCAUUAGCUAGUUGGUAAGGUAACGGCUUACCAAGGCAACGAUGCGUAGCCGACCUGAGAGGGUGAUCGGCCACACUGGAACUGAGACACGGUCCAGACUCCUACGGGACGCAGCAGUAGGGAAUCUUCCGCAAUGGGCGAAAGCCUGACGGAGCAACGCCGCGUGAGUGAUGAAGGUCUUCGGAUCGUGAAACUCUGUUAUUAGGGAAGAACAAAUGUGGAAGUAACUAUGCACGUCUUGACGGUACCUAAUCAGAAAGCCACGGCUAACUACGUG